AUUGAACGCUGGCGGCAGGCCUAAAACAUGCAAGUCGAGCGAGCGGCGGACGGGUGAGAAAUGUAUGGGGACUGCCCGAUAGAGGGGGAUAACUACUGGAAACGGUGGUUAAUACCGCAUACUAUGGGAGAACCCAGAUGGGAUUAGCUAGUAGGUGGGGUAAAGGCUCACCUAGGAGACGAACACGAGCUGGUCUGAGAGGCUGACCAGCCACACUGGGACUGAGACACGGCCCAGACUCCUACGGAGGCAGCAGUGGGGAAUAUUGCACAAUGGGCGCAAGCCUGAUACAGCCAGGCCGCGUGUAUGAAGAAGGCCUUAGGGUUGUAAAGUACUUUCAGCGGGGAGGCGUUACCCGCAGAAGAAGCACCGGCUAACUCCGUCCCAGCAGCCGCGGUAAUAC
rnacentral:rRNA from 1 species